rnacentral:rRNA from 1 species
AACGAACGCUGGCGGCAUGCCUAACACAUGCAAGUCGAGCGCCCGUAGCAAUACGGGAGCGGCGCACGGGUGAGUAGCGCGUGGGAACCUGCCCAGAGGUUCGGGACAACCGCGGGAAACUGCGGCUGAUACCGGAUGAUGCCUGAGGGCCAAAGAUUUAUCGCCUUUGGAGGGGCCCGCGUCGGAUUAGGUAGUUGGUGAGGUAACGGCUCACCAAGCCUGUGAUCCGUAGCUGGUCUGAGAGGAUGAUCAGCCACACUGGGACUGAGACACGGCCCAGACUCCUACGGGAGGCAGCAGUGGGGAGUAUUGGACAAUGGGGGCAACCCUGAUCCAGCAAUGCCGCGUGGGUGAUGAAGGCCUCGGUUGUAA